UCCCUUUCAAAAUGGCUGCUGGCAUUCGACGAGGACGAGCGACCAACAACCGCGUAACAACUAACAAGUGAAUGCCAAGCAAAGUAACGCCUUCUUUUGGAGAAACUGUUUGUCUGUUCGAGAAUUAUUUCUUCCCUGGAUUUAUUCGUCUCAAAAAUGAUAACAUAGCCUACAAUUUAUAUUUGGCAAUUUCAUCUGAUCAUAUGGCAUUUUCCCAAAAUGUCGUCUCUUGUUGUCCGUACCGGCUGUACGUUUCGUCACAUGCAGUGAUACAGAAAUACUUCAGAACAAUAAAAGUGAUUAUGUUGGUCAACUUUUUAACUCAUGGUGAAAUCUGAGCUUCUUCAUUGCAGUCCAAUGUGCACAUGGAUUUGUUGCAGCUAGCUGGUGAAACCGCGAAAGGUGUUCCUCUUGCAGUUGCAGGCUUGCUACCUGUACCAGUUGUAGCUUUCGUUACAGGCAUUGAAGUAAUUAUGUUGGAAAACUUUUUUAAAGUUUAUGUAAUUGCUGUUGCAACUAACAAGCAACAGCCUAUAAUUUCUACAUGGCAAUUUCAUCUGAUCAUGUGGCCUGAGCAGCUGAACAUUCUGCCAAAAUGUCGUCUCUUUUUCCUGUACCAGCUUCACGUUUGUCAGAAACACUUCAGAACAAUUCAGGAUUAACACCCUGGUGGAGUUUGAGCUUCUUUGUUGCUGCCCAACUUACACAUGGAUUUGACGCAGCCAGCUGAGGGCUUUAACUCCUGUUUGGCAUUUUUGUUCGCGUAGUUGCAGUCCGAUGUAGCACGUUGUUGCAGCCUAUGCUGGUGAAAGAGCUUUCUACAUCAAAUUCAAUUAGCCGUUCCUUGGUGCUGGUUUCGUGUUACCGAAAUUGCAUCAUUAUAUUGUUAAAUUGUCAUCGUGACUAUGCAGUUUACCGUUAAUAAGUUCAGAAGCAACAAAAACAAAUAUGGGAUGUUUAUAUGUCAACAAAUAAUAAACAUGUUUCCGGGAUUGGGAAAGGAAAG
rnacentral:lncRNA from 1 species